rnacentral:rRNA from 1 species
GACGAACGCUGGCGGCGUGCUUAACACAUGCAAGUCGAACGGACAGGCCCUGCUUUUGUGGGGUGCUCGAGUGGCGAACGGGUGAGUAACACGUGAGUAACCUGCCCUUGACUUUGGGAUAACUUCAGGAAACUGGGGCUAAUAUCGGAUAGGAGCUCCUGCUGCAUGGUGGGGGUUGGAAAGUUUCGGCGGUUGGGGAUGGACUCGCGGCUUAUCCGCUUGUUGGUGGGGUAGUGGCUUACCAAGGCUUUGACGGGUAGCCGGCCUGAGAGGGUGACCGGCCACAUUGGGACUGAGAUACGGCCCAGACUCCUACGGGAGGCAGCAGGGGGGAAUAUUGCACAAUGGGCGGAAGCCUGAUGCAGCAACGCCGCGUGCGGGAUGACGGCCUUCGGGGUGUAAACCGCUUUCGCCUGUGACGAAGCGUGAGUGACGGUAAUGGGUAAAGAAGCACCGGCUAACUACGUG